rnacentral:rRNA from 1 species
GACGAACGCUGGCGGCGUGCCUAAUACAUGCAAGUAGAACGCUGAAGGAGGAGCUUGCUUCUCUGGAUGAGUUGCGAACGGGUGAGUAACGCGUAGGUAACCUGCCUGGUAGCGGGGGAUAACUAUUGGAAACGAUAGCUAAUACCGCAUAAUAGCAGUUAUCGCAUGAUAACUGUUUGAAAGGUGCAAUUGCACCACUACCAGAUGGACCUGCGUUGUAUUAGCUAGUUGGUGGGGUAACGGCUCACCAAGGCGACGAUACAUAGCCGACCUGAGAGGGUGAUCGGCCACACUGGGACUGAGACACGGCCCAGACUCCUACGGGAGGCAGCAGUAGGGAAUCUUCGGCAAUGGACGGAAGUCUGACCGAGCAACGCCGCGUGAGUGAAGAAGGUUUUCGGAUCGUAAAGCUCUGUUGUAAGAGAAGAACGAGUGUGAGAGNGGAAAGUUCACACNGNGACGG